rnacentral:lncRNA from 1 species
CUUGGAUGUUGUCUUGUUUCUCUAGCAACGGUCUCAGGAGCAGAUGGCCGCCCAGCGAUUUGUCUGACUGUGUUGGGGCUGGGCCACUUGUCUCCAACUCAUAAGGGCUUGCAGCCCAGUUGACCCGAUGUUUCAUGGAACAGUCACAGAAGAGCUAACCAGUCAUGAAGAAUGGAGUCACUAUAAUGAAAACAUAAGAGAAGGUCAAAAAGAUUUUGUUUUUGUGAAGUUCAAUGGCCUUCAUUUAAAGUCUAUGGAAAAUUUGCAGUCUUGCAUCUCUCUUAGAGUAUGCAUCUUCUCAAACAAUUUUAUUACAGAUAUUCAUCCACUUCAAAGUUGUAUAAAAUUAAUCAAACUUGAUCUCCAUGGAAAUCAGAUAAAGAGUCUACCAAAUACCAAAUUUUGGAAUGGAUUGAAGAACCUAAAACUACUCUAUCUUCAUGACAAUGGGUUUGCAAAGUUAAAGAAUAUAUGUGUAUUAUCUGCCUGUCCAACCCUCAUUGCCCUCACUAUGUUUGAUUGUCCAGUAAGCCUUAAAAAAGGAUAUAGACAUGUUCUUGUUAACAGUAUAUGGCCUCUCAAAGCGCUGGAUCAUCAUGUGAUUUCUGAUGAAGAAAUAAUUCAGAACUGGCAUCUUCCUGAAAGAUUCAAAGCAUGUAACCAUCGACUUUUCUUUAAUUUCUGCCCAGCUUUGAGAAAGGUAAUUGGCUUCUUUAGGGUUUCAUUUUAAUUAAAUGUAUAAAAGGGAAAUUUUAGCUUCUGAGUUCUAUAUCUAAAUUAUAUAAACUUUUUAAUAUUUUUGCAUCAUUUAUAUAAAAUAAUAUAAACCAAUGAAUAUAUUUGUAAUGUCUUUCUAUCUGAAACUUGAUAAAAGUUUGCAUGCCAACUACAUUAAACAAAGCCUG